UUUUAAAUGGCCGCAGUAUUUUGACUGUGCAAAGGUAGCAUAAUCAUUAGUUUUUUAAUUAAAAGCUUGUAUGAAAGGCUGGACGAGGUAAAAUCUGUCUCUAUUUAAAUUAUAAUAGAAUUUAACUUUUAAGUUAAAAGGCUUAAAUAUUAUUAAAAGACGAGAAGACCCUAUAGAUCUUUAUAAUUUAUUAAAUAAAAUUUAUUUAGAAUUAUUUGUGUUUUAUUUAAUUAAAUUAUUUAAUUGGGGUAAUUGAAAGAUUGAAUUAAUUCUUUUUUAUUAUAAACAUUAAUUUAUGAAUAUUAAAUGAUCCAGUUUUACUGAUUAUAAGAUUAAGUUACCUUAGGGAUAACAGCGUAAUUUUUUUAGAGAGUUCAUAUCGAUAAAAAAGUUUGCGACCUCGAUGUUGGAUUAAAGAUUAUUUUAGGUGCAGAAGCUUAAUAAUUUUGGUCUGUUCGACCAUUAAAUCUUUACAUGAUCUGAGUUCAGACCGGCGUAAGCCAGGUCGGUUUCUAUCUUUAAUAAAAUAAAAUAUUUUAGUACGAAAGGACCAAGUAUUUGAUAUAUUUAUAUUUAGUUAAUUGAAUAUUA
rnacentral:rRNA from 1 species